UACGUGGGGUGCAAGCGUUAAUCGGAAUUACUGGGCGUAAAGCGUGCGCAGGCGGUUAUGUAAGACAGGUGUGAAAUCCCCGGGCUUAACCUGGGAACUGCAUUUGUGACUGCAUAGCUAGAGUACGGUAGAGGGGGAUGGAAUUCCGCGUGUAGCAGUGAAAUGCGUAGAUAUGCGGAGGAACACCGAUGGCGAAGGCAAUCCCCUGGACCUGUACUGACGCUCAUGCACGAAAGCGUGGGGAGCAAACAGG
rnacentral:rRNA from 1 species